UACGUAGGGAGCGAGCGUUGUCCGGAUUCAUUGGGCGUAAAGAGCUCGUAGGCGGCUUGGUAAGUCGGAUGUGAAACCUCCAGGCUCAACCUGGAGUCGCCAUCCGAUACUGCCAUGGCUAGAGUCCGGUAGGGGCCCACGGAAUUCCUGGUGUAGCGGUGAAUGACGCAGAUAUCAGGAGGAACACCGAUGGCGAAGGCAGUGGGCUGGGCCGGCGACUGACGCUGAGGAGCGAAAGCGUGGGGAGCGAACAGG
rnacentral:rRNA from 1 species